UUGCUUCAGCAGCAUAUAUACUAAAAUUGGAAUGCUAUAGAGAAGGUUAGCAUGGCCCCUGAGCAAGGAUGAUACACAAAUUCGUGAAGAGAAUGAGAGGUGG